UGCGUAGGCGGAUAGAUAAGUCAGAGGUGAAAGCCUCCCGCUCAACGGGAGAAUUGCCUUUGAUACUGUUUAUCCUGAAUAAGGUUGAGGUUAGCGGAAUGUGACAUGUAGCGGUGAAAUGCAUAGAUAUGUCAUAGAACACCAAUUGCGUAGGCAGCUAGCUAGGCCUUUAUUGACGCUGAGGCACGAAAGCAUGGGGAGCGAACAGGAUUAGAUACCCUGGUAGUCC
rnacentral:rRNA from 1 species